UUGUGGAAUACUUUGUAUCAGCAAAGACCACACACCCCGAAUUCCUGGACGGUGUCUGGUGUUUUCUUUCCCCUUCUGUUCAGCUGAAGUUGAGCAGCGGUAAUGAGUCAUGCUGUCUUGUGACCAGCCGGGCACUUUUCCAAUCAGAGAGACUGUUAAGAUCUCUGACAACAGAACCUGUCAUUGUUUGAAGAGUAGAUAUCAACGGUGACCUGUAUACUUGGUGAUCCAGGCUUCUGUGAGUAACAAAAUGCGUUCCCAUCCCUGCUGAAUGACAGAACACCAGUAAUGAGGUAGCACUUAGUAAAGCUGACUCAUUUCCUCGUUUAUAGAUGAAGGGGAUUGUCCAAGAAAUAAUCUCCCAGAUCCAGCUUGUUUGCCCGGAGGAAAGAAUUCAUUGAACAGCCACAGACUACAUUCCAGAACGUUAGCCAAGCACUUUGCAACAGGGUACCAUUGGGUCAUAGCAAGGCCUGCCACCACUCCUGGCAGAGCGACUCCAAAUACCUGCCCAUGGGACAGAGGUCUGGUUGCAGGAGGUCAGUACGGGCUCUCAUGGCAAGAAUUUUCAUGAGUGCUUCUUUCCUCCGUUUAGUUUCUUGAUAAAGGGCCAUUGGAAUUUUUAAGUCUCUGGAAAUGCGUGGGACUCUACUUUUUUUUCAGUAGGUGCUUUAUAUGCUUUGCUGUGAGUUCUCCCAGUGAACUUCGAUCUAAAUUCUACAUUGCAGGGUGGUGAUGUGAGUGUGUGUGUGGGAGGGCGAUAAUUUCAAAUACUUCAGGACCCAGAAUAGAUUUGUCACUGUUAUUUCUCUCCUUCCUUGCCGACAAAUCACAAUGCUAUUGCUCCGUGUUUGGAAUCUGAGAAUCUGCAGAGGCAGCUCAUUGGUCCUCAGGGAGGAUGACAAUUAGCACGGCAGGUGGAACGCUGCACCUCCCGACCUCCCAACCCCUCUUUUAUCUGUUUUACAAAUUGGACAACUCUGCUUUGAUCUGCUUUUGUGUAAGAGGUCAUCGGAGCACGAGGAGAUAAAAGUUGUCAAAGCUGAGCCCAGAAAGAGGUUGGUGCCGCCACGUGUGGUCACUCAGAAGAGAAGUAGGGUUGGGGCUCAGGUAAUGUGUGUGAGCUGCCCGUCCAGGUGGGCCUCCUCUGGAUUCUCAGGGGCUUAUCCGCAGACAGCCUUGAAUGGAUGGUGACGGAGAGCAUCCUCCUGGAGCCCAGAUGCCUCGGUGCCUGUAUUGGGGGAUGGGGCCUCUAAGGAGGUGGUAAAGGUUAAAUGAGGUCAUCAGAGAGGAUCCCUCAUCCAAUAGGGUUAGAGCCCUCAAGAGGAGACAGCAGAGAGCUUCACCCCCACCCCCACUCCCCACAUUUUCUCUCUGUCUGUCUCUGUCUGUCUCUCUCUCCUCCCUGUGAGGACACAGUGAGAAGGCAGCCGUCUGCAAGCCCAGAAGAGAGCCCUCACCAGCGCUUGGCCAUGACUCCAGCCUCCAGAACCGUGAGGAAUAAAGCCCUGUUGUUUUAGCUGCCUGGUCUGUAGGACUUGGUUAUGACAGCCCGAGCUGACCUGUACCCAGAGGGGCCUCUCCUUCUGAGGGGCCAGUCCUGCUUUCCCCACCUGCCCUCUGCUUGGUGGUGCUCUGGGUUUUCUCACAGCCUGUGCGUUCCUGCCUCCCAUCUUGAUUAGAAGCUUCAUCCUUAGGAGUCCAGUAACAGGCUGUAUCAUUAUUUGCACCCCUCAGGCACUAGCCGAAUACAUUUCUCACACUAUAAAGUGUAAUAUUUGCUGAUUGAUUAACUAGUCUGAGAGAUGAUUAGCCAAGUUGUACCUAUAUCUUGAAAUAGUUUGUUUUUACUUUGGUUUCAGAAUUGGCAAAGAAAUAUGGGGAUACUUAUGCACAAAAUUUCUGGCUACUUGGUGAUAUGAGUGUGUUGUUUAUUUUCUCCUGGAAUGAUCCAGAUUCAGAGAGUUACCUCAGCACUGACCUUUAUCUUGCAUAUAAACAUAAAAUGGGGCCCAGGACUCCAAAUUCUACAAAACUCACUGUAAUUUUCUUUGAAUGGUGGUCAUUUUAUCAAUAAUAUUAAAAUCCCAUUAAAUUAUCUGAUCCUAGACCAGGGUGCUUCAUACUGUUCUCUUUCUUUGUAAUUAUUUAAUCUCUUUUUAGUAGAAAAGAGGAAAAAUCCCUUGAACCAGAAAGGAUUUCUUUCUACUCUAACAGUAUUCCUUUUUUCACUCUGGGUGAAAUAAACUUAACAGAAAGGAGCUGAACUCUCCACUCCAGGCCACACGAUUUAAUGUGAUGCAGGAUUUUCAAUUAAUGGCAAUACCUUGGACUUGAUCAGAAAAUCAAGCCACGAGAACUGAAGUCACAAGGGGUUAACACUUUUUCAUUGUUUUUACAGAAAGACUAUGUAUGUCAAAAAAUAAUCCAAAAAGGAUUUUUCAUUUGCAUUUCUAACCUAAAAUGGCCCCAUGCUUAAUUUAACGUGCUUGAUGUGCGUCAUGGAAUUAUCAGUUACCUUUCUAUUAAAUUGCAAAAAUCAGGGACAUUUUGUUUAAUCAACACUAAUGUUCAGAAAUGUAUUAUCCGUGAUGUUAUCUGUUCUAUCUGAACUUUGCCAAAUUUUUUUUAAAAACUGCUCUGCCACCAUGUCAUUAAAUUACGACAUCUGAGUGAAAAGGCCGCAUCACAAGCUAGUGGCCCUGUGACUCGCCUGAGCCCCACCUGACUGAUGCCAUUGGCUCCAUCCCAGAAGCAAAGGUUAAAAUCCAUUUCCAAAUGAUCCUGAAGAAUGAUUAUUUUUCCCUUGCUGAGAUUUCACUGAAUACAGAGAAGAGGAAAGACUGAGUAUAUCACGAAAGGAAACACUCUAUUUGCCACAUUACACAUUGAUGAGAGCAAAGUUCCACAGAUUAAUUCAACACUCUCGGACUUUCUUGUCAACGCGCUCGCCCACACUAGCAGCUUCCAUGUCUGUGGCUUGACAAAGAGCUGCUCUUCCUCAGCUGUCAGCAUCUGUCUGAGCGGAACCACUGCGUUUCCCCGGAGGAAAUCCGGCUGCAGCCGCCCCUGCGCACAGGCGUGCCCUUCGCCUCUCCCUGCUGGCCUGGCGGCGGGCAUUCUGCUCCCAUUCUGCCCCCAGGCUCCCAGGCGAGGAUUUCUUCCCGCCCUUCUCCCAUCCCCACGCCCUCCGCCAGUCUCACUGACCACUGCUGUCAACUGGCGCCUGCCUUCUUGCAGACAGGAGAGGGUCUGCUGUCAUGUUCCUGAUGCUGUGAGGAGAGCCCUGGGUGACAAUUCGGCACUUCUGCCCCGUGUUCAGAAUUUCAGCGAGUGGUGACCCUCGCUUUAGGACCGAGCAUCCCCUCCAGCCUGACAGUUUAGAGCAGCGCGCACAGAUGCUGUGUCCGUCUGCAUUAAUGUCAUUGGACAGGAGUCAUUUCAGCCUCCGCCGAGUCUUUCAGUUUUUCACUUUUUGGGAAAUACACUAUUAAUACAAUUUGUCACUAUUCUUUAAGGAGCACUUAUUAUGCUGGGAUUUUAGUAUGUUUUACCAAUUUAGUUGUCAUAAUGGCCUGCAAGUGCCUUGAUUUUAAAACCUUAUUUCCCAGGCCUUUUGAGAGCUCACUAUAACCUGAGAUUAUUUUCCUAAUGGACAGCUUCUAUAAUGUACUUCUUAAAAGCCAAAUGGUACUUAUCACUUCAUUUUGCAUAUUGAAUGACAUUUUUAUCUUGGUGUUAAUAAUCCAACAUUAUAAUAAAAAUAAUAAUAGCAAGGAUUUGAAAAUCCAUUACAAAUCUCCUUAAA